UACGGGGGGGGCAAGCGUUGUUCGGAAUUACUGGGCGUAAAGGGCUCGGAGGCGGCCAACUAAGUCAGACGUGAAAUCCCUCGGCUUAACCGGGGAACUGCGUCUGAUACUGGAUGGCUUGAGUUUGGGAGAGGGAUGCGGAAUUCCAGGUGUAGCGGUGAAAUGCGUAGAUAUCUGGAGGAACACCGGUGGCGAAGGCGGAUCUCUGGGCCUUACCUGACGCUCAGGCACGAAAGCUAGGGGAGCGAACAGG
rnacentral:rRNA from 1 species